rnacentral:rRNA from 1 species
GAUGAACGCUGGCGGCGUGCCUAAUACAUGCAAGUCGAGCGAACGGACGAGAAGCUUGCUUCUCUGAUGUUAGCGGCGGACGGGUGAGUAACACGUGGAUAACCUACCUAUAAGACUGGGAUAACUUCGGGAAACCGGAGCUAAUACCGGAUAAUAUUUUGAACCGCAUGGUUCAAAAGUGAAAGACGGUCUUGCUGUCACUUAUAGAUGGAUCCGCGCUGCAUUAGCUAGUUGGUAAGGUAACGGCUUACCAAGGCAACGAUGCAUAGCCGACCUGAGAGGGUGAUCGGCCACACUGGAACUGAGACACGGUCCAGACUCCUAUGGGAGGCUGCAGUAGGGAAUCUUCCGCAAUGGGCGAAAGCCUGACGGAGCAACGCCGCGUGAGUGAUGAAGGUCUUCGGAUCGUAAAACUCUGUUAUUAGGGAAGAACAUAUGUGUAAGUAACUGUGCACAUCUUGACGGUACCUAAUCAGAAAGCCACGGCUAACUACGUG